GAGUGAACGCUGGCGGUAGGCCUAACACAUGCAAGUCGAACGGCAGCACAGUAAGAGCUUGCUCUUACGGGUGGCGAGUGGCGGACGGGUGAGGAAUACAUCGGAAUCUACUUUUUCGUGGGGGAUAACGUAGGGAAACUUACGCUAAUACCGCAUACGACCUACGGGUGAAAGCAGGGGAUCUUCGGACCUUGCGCGAUUGAAUGAGCCGAUGUCGGAUUAGCUAGUUGGCGGGGUAAAGGCCCACCAAGGCGACGAUCCGUAGCUGGUCUGAGAGGAUGUUCAGCCACACUGGAACUGAGACACGGUCCAGACUCCUACGGGAGGCAGCAGUGGGGAAUAUUGGACAAUGGGCGCAAGCCUGAUCCAGCCAUACCGCGUGGGUGAAGAAGGCCUUCGGGUUGUAAAGCCCUUUUGUUGGGAAAGAAAAGCAGCAGGUUAAUACCCCGCUGUUCUGACGGUACCCAAAGAAUAAGCACCGGCUAACUUCGUG
rnacentral:rRNA from 1 species